UUCUAAUUAGCAGACUAUUAGACUUAAAUGGAGAAAAAUGGAGUUGACACAGAAGAAUUAUCAACAUUGCUUUCCAUCUCGAGAAGUUGAAGCUGAUAUUACCAACAUUCUCUAAGAGUUGUAAUGAAAUGGUAAAGAAAUGGGUGAGAUUGGUGAGUGAAAGUCAAAGGGACUAUUGUGAGAUAGACGUAUGGCCCUUUUCUUUCAAAGCAUGGCCAGUGAUGUCAUUUCUUGAACUACUUUUGGAAGCAGCUAUGAAGAAGGCCAAUAAAUAUUCCAACUCCAAUCUGAACAAGCUCUUCUUACCAUCAUGGUGAUUCGUUCUCUUUAUAUCCAAGGCCGAACAGAUUUGUACUACUUUGAAAUCCUAGUAGGUUUAAUGUCCUACUUUGAUUGCAUCCUGCUCAUGCAUGUACAGAUUUGUAACAGCUAAGCUGAACAGGGGAUUGAAAGAAAUUGAGAAAGAAAUACAAGUGUUAGCGAGGGGGAAUCACUCAAAAAAUGUUGAAGGCCAAGGAAGCAUGAGAGGCCCCAAGUGAUGAUCUAUUUGGUAUACUUUUGGGAUCCAAUUGUAGAGAAAUCAAAGACAACGACAACAAAAAGAACAUGGGAAUGAGCAUUGAGGAUGCCAUGAAGGAAUGUAAAUUGUUCUACUUAGCAGGACAAGACACAACCUCUGCUCUCCGUAAGUAUCCCAAUUGGCAAUCUCAAGUAAAAGAAGAAGUCUUUUAAGUAUUCGGCACUCAAGCACCUGACUAUGAUGACUUAAGUCGUCUCAAACUGGCAAGAUUAUAUGGAUACAAAUAAUAAUAUUGAACAUAUUAUGUCAGAAUAAUAGUUAACAUAUUUAUGUGCGAGCAAUAGUUAAGCAUGAUACUGUACAAGGUUCUUAGGUUAUAACCUCCAGCACCUAUAGUCUACAGGGUCGUAACAAAGGAUACAAGGCUUGGAAAUCUGAGUCUACCACCUGGAACUUGAGAUGGGAUUCCAAUAACUUUAGUGCAGUAGGAUCCUCAAUUGUGGGGAGAAGAUGUGCAUCUAAAGCAACCAAAAGCCAGGCCUCAUAUCUUCCAUUUUCUUGGGGUCCAAAGAUCUGCGCUGGCCAAAACUUUUCUUUGCUUGAGACUAAAAUGAUUCUAUCCUUAAUUCUUCAAAACUUCUUUUUUGAACUUUCUCCAUCUUUUGCUCAUGCUCAUUUCUUGAUUUUGAUGCUUUGCUCAGUAUGGCACCCACAUCAUGUUACGGAAGCUCUAGAAUUAUUAGUUAAAAUGUUUAUCAUCUUACCAUCCUGGAAGGAAUAUUAUGAGGUGGGUAUGUACACAUUUAAGUCAUGAAAAUAUGCAUGUAUACACACACACACACACACACACACACACACACACACUCUGUACUCAUUGAAUAGUUAUCAUACCAUCCAUAUUGAACUAUAUACAGUGUUCUAUGCU